rnacentral:rRNA from 1 species
AGUGAACGCUGGCGGUAGGCCUAACACAUGCAAGUCGAACGGCAGCACAGUAAGAGCUUGCUCUUACGGGUGGCGAGUGGCGGACGGGUGAGGAAUACAUCGGAAUCUACUUUUUCGUGGGGGAUAACGUAGGGAAACUUACGCUAAUACCGCAUACGACCUACGGGUGAAAGCAGGGGAUCUUCGGACCUUGCGCGAUUGAAUGAGCCGAUGUCGGAUUAGCUAGUUGGCGGGGUAAAGGCCCACCAAGGCGACGAUCCGUAGCUGGCCUGAGAGGAGGAUCAGCCACACUGGAACUGAGACACGGUCCAGACUCCUAAGGGAGGCAGCAGUGGGGAAUAUUGGACAAUGGGCGCAAGCCUGAUCCAGCCAUACCGCGUGGGUGAAGAAGGCCUUGGGGUUGUAAAGCCCUUUUGUUGGGAAAGAAAAGCAGCAGGUUAAUACCCCGCUGUUCUGACGGUACCCAAAGAAUAAGCACCGGCUAACUUCGUG